GGAAAGUGCCAUAGCCCUGGACGAAAGAUGAGAAAAAGGCGAAGACGCUGUUGACUGAGAGCGAGAUGAGCAGACACUGCCUCCGACCCAGCCGAUCAGCCAGACCUCCCCAGAGGAAGGCUCCCACCAUCAUGCCCAGCCAUGCUUCAGCUAAGCCCCAAGGAGUGGGGAUCUGCCCAGGAUCUCAUGGCAACUUGGGAGCAGAGCAAGACCAACAGAUCCUUUGUGGGGGUCCAUGCCACCAUGGCCACCUCCUGCAGAACUAACUAAGCAGACCACCGCCCAAGCCCCAGCCCAGCACGAACGGCCUCGUGUGACCCAGGCUCAAGAGGAAGGAGUGAGGGGAGAGUGUGCAGAGGAACUCCAAGCCCUCUGGGGACAUCUUGGGACCAGGAUCCUAGGGAGCCCAGUGGUAAGGACAGGGGUUCUCACAAGCAGAGGUGUUUCUAGAGUUUGGGGCAGGACAGGGCUGGAGGGCCCCCCAGU